rnacentral:rRNA from 1 species
CCUACGGGGGGCUGCAGUGAGGAAUAUUGGUCAAUGGGCGAGAGCCUGAACCAGCCAAGUCGCGUGAAGGAUGACGGCCCUACGGGUUGUAAACUUCUUGUGUCAGGGAGCAAUUGGGUCCACGCGUGGGCUUAUCGAGAGUAACUGAAGAAAAAGCAUGGGCUAACUCCGUGCCAGCAGACGCGGUAAUACGGAGGAGGCGAGCGUUAUCCGGAUUUAGUGGGUUAAAAGGGUGCGUAGGGAGAAUUUCAAGUCAGCUGUAAAAAUUCGGGGCUCAACCCCGUCGUGCCGUUGAAACUGAUGUUCUUGAGUGGGCGAGAAGUAUGCUGAAUGCGUGGUGUAGCGGUGAAAUGCAUAGAUAUCACGCAGAACUCCGAUUGCGAAGGCAGCAUACCGGCGCCCAACUGACGCUGAAGCACGAAAGCGUGGGUAUCGAACAGGAUUAGAUACCCGGGUAGUC